AUGUAUGCAAUGAAAGGAAAAGGAGUAGCAACUGUUUCCCUGUAACAGAGAGCUGGUGGUUGGUGUGAACCAGUACAAAGACAAGUGCGAAUUACAGUCCUGGAGCAUCUUUUUCGUAGUAAAGAUGUAUAUCUUUAUGAAGGAAAAGACGGUCAAAUGAUCGUUAACAAAGAAGAGAGGUAGACGCAGGGUCGUCUACAACUAGGGUGGUACCGCGAUAAUAAUCGUCCCUACU
rnacentral:ncRNA from 1 species